UCCAGAGAUGGAUUGGUGCCUUCGGGAACUCUGAGACAGGUGCUGCAUGGCUGUCGUCAGCUCGUGUUGUGAAAUGUUGGGUUAAGUCCCGCAACGAGCGCAACCCUUAUCCUUUGUUGCCAGCGGUUAGGCCGGGAACUCAAAGGAGACUGCCAGUGAUAAACUGGAGGAAGGUGGGGAUGACGUCAAGUCAUCAUGGCCCUUACGAGUAGGGCUACACACGUGCUACAAUGGCGCAUACAAAGAGAAGCGACCU
rnacentral:rRNA from 1 species